rnacentral:rRNA from 1 species
AGGGAAACAGCCCAGAUCAUCAGCUAAGGUCCCUAAAUAAUAACUAAGUGAUAAAGGAUGUAAAUCGACAUAGACAACCAGGAGGUUGGCCUAGAAGCAGCAAUUUCCUUUAAAAAGUGCGUAAUAGCUUACUGGUUAAGUCUUUUUGCGCCGAAAAUGAACGGGGCUAAGUUAUUUACCGAAGCUAUGAGAUUUAUCGGUAGAGGAGCGUUCUGUUUUAGUGAGAAGCAAAAAUGGAAGUUUUUGUGGACUAUUCAGAAGUGAGAAUGUCGGCUUAAGUAACGAAAACAUCAGUGGAAAUCUGAUGCCCCGAAAACUCGAGGUUUCCUUUUCAAGGUUCGUCCAAAAAGGGUUAGUCAGGUCCUAAAAUGAGGUUUAAAAACGUAGUUGAUGGAAAACAGGUUAAUAUUCCUGUACAAUAUUUAAUGUUUAAUAGGGACGAAGGAGGCUAUACAAACCAGAUUUUGGUUGUUUUGGUUUAAGUUUUCAAGGUGUUGAGAGAUAUAUAAAAAUAUCUUGAGUUGAGAAACGAAUAAGAAUAUGCUAUGGUAUAUGAACUUGUAGAUGUCAUACUUCCAAGAAAAUCUUUGAUUACUUUAUUUAAAUGUUCCUGUACCAAACCGACACAGGUGAGUUUGUAGAAUAUACUAAGGGGCGCGAGGUAACUGUUUUUAAGGAACUCGGCAAAAUUUCUCUGUAACUUCGGGAUAAAGAGAGCCUUUAAUAGGCCGCAGUGAAUUCGUCCAAGCGACUGUUUACCAAAAACACAGGUCUUUGCUAAGUUGAAAAACUAUGUAUAAGGGCCGACGCCUGCCCAGUGCUUGAAGGUUAAAGAAAUUGGUGAACUUUUUAAGUGUAGCUAGUGACUGAAGCCCUAGUGAACGGCAGUUCUAACUAUGAGAAUUCGAAGGUAGCGAAAUUCCUUGUCGGGUAAGUUCCGACCCGCACGAAAGGCGUAACGAUUUGGAUACUGUCUCAAAAACAGACUCGGUGAAAUAGAAUUAAACGUGAAGAUGCGUUUUACUUGCACUUGGACAGAAAGACCCUAUGAAGCUUUACUGUACCUUGAAAUUGAAUUUGGGCAUCUUUUGCGCAGAAUAGGUGGGAAGCAAAGAUCCUCUUUUUCGGAAGAUGGGGAGCUAACAGUGAGAUACCACUCUAAAGACGUUAGAAUUCUAAUAAUAUUUUGGUAAUCAGAUAUUUGACAUUUUCAGGGGGGCAGUUUUACUGGGGCGGUAGCCUCCUAAAGAGUAACGGAGGCGUACAAAGGUUUUUUCAAUCUAAACGGAAACUAGUUGUAGAGUAUAAAGAUAUAAGAAAGCUUGACUGUAAGACUUAGAAGUCAAACAGAGACGAAAGUCGGUCUUAGUGAUCCGACGGUUGUGUGUGGAAAUGCCGUCGCUUAACCGAUAAAAGUUACUCUAGGGAUAACAGGCUGAUCUCCCCCAAGAGUUCACAUCGACGGGGAGGUUUGGCACCUCGAUGUCGGCUCAUCGCAACCUGGGGCGGAAGUACGUCCCAAGGGUUGGGCUGUUCGCCCAUUAAAGCGGUACGUGAGCUGGGUUCAGAACGUCGAGAGACAGUUCGGUCCAUAUCCGGUGUGAGCGUUAGAGUAUUGAGGGGAAUUUUUCCUAGUACGAGAGGACCGGAAAGAACAUACCACUGAUCUACCAGUUUUUUUACCUAAAGAAUACGCUGGGUAGUUACGUAUGGAGUGGAUACUGC